rnacentral:rRNA from 2 species
GGGUUGUGAGGUUAAGCGACUAAGCGUACACGGUGGAUGCCCUGGCAGUCAGAGGCGAUGAAGGACGUGCUAAUCUGCGAUAAGCGCCGGUAAGGUGAUAUGAACCGUUAUAACCGGCGAUUUCCGAAUGGGGAAACCCAGUGUGACUCGUCACACUAUCAUUAACUGAAUCCAUAGGUUAAUGAGGCGAACCGGGGGAACUGAAACAUCUAAGUACCCCGAGGAAAAGAAAUCAACCGAGAUUCCCCCAGUAGCGGCGAGCGAACGGGGAGGAGCCCAGAGCCUGAAUCAGCAUGUGUGUUAGUGGAAGCGUCUGGAAAGGCGCGCGAUACAGGGUGACAGCCCCGUACACAAAAGCGCAUGUGCUGUGAGCUCGAUGAGUAGGGCGGGACACGUGGUAUCCUGUCUGAAUAUGGGGGGACCAUC